ensembl:lncRNA
GUGAUGAUGGUGAUGAUGAUGGGGAUGAUGAUGGACGAGCCGACGCCAUGUCACUCUUACAGUAACUCACUGCUGAUGUGAGCAAGUGCAGAUUCAGCCUUUAAUUAGUUUCUCUCCCCAGCUUGCGGGCAGCAAUGAUUCUCACCCUGCCGUUUGUCACGCUAAUAUACGAUCGGCUACAUAUCGCAGAUAUUAGGAUCAUGAACGUGAUGCAUGGCAGGACGCGGAACAUCACUGCACGGCGGAGUGAAGUGACGGCUGACGAGCGGAGCGGAGAUACAGCCGCACUGGCGUAUCAUAAUCCAUACACGAUCGUAUGGAGGGCAUGAGGAGAGCCAGAGCCUGUCCUGUCAAUCACUCACGGCUGAGCGAAACACCUGCGAGACGCAGACAGACAGAGACAGCCAGACAGAAAGACACACACACACUCGCGGAUACACACAAAUUACAGUCUCAUGAGUGUUUAAUUGGCCGGAGGCGGGCCGGAGGCCGAGGCAGAGAGCUGUCACUACGUGUCACGCUGAACGGAGGCCCGCACUCGUUCUCCGGGCGAGAGUCCUUCGCUUGAUGGAGCUGCUGCAGCUGAAUAACGACAACAUGGCCUGGUGUUGUUCACUGAGAGGAGCGCAGAAGUCCCAGAUUCCACCCGGAAACAUGCCGGCCUUCUUCCUGUGUGUGAUCACCUUCACUCCUGUCCCACUGCGUCUGUUUAAGCUCAUUCUGCACCCGCCUUCCUCCCCGUACGCUCCCUUUUCUCCUCUCCUCUCCUUUCAUUUCAUUUCCUUUCCUUUCCUUUCAUUUCAUUUCAUUUCCUUUCAUUUCCUUUCCUUUCCUUCCUUUCCUUUCCUUUCCUUU